GACGAACGCUGGCGGUGUGCUUAACACAUGCAAGUCGAACGGUAAGGCCCUUUCGGGGGUACACGAGUGGCGAACGGGUGAGUAACACGUGAGUAACCUGUCCUCAUCUCUGGGAUAACAGUCGGAAACGGUUGCUAAUACUGGAUAUGAGCUUGCAAGGCAUCUUGUGGGUUGGAAAGAUUUUUUUGGUUGGGGAUGGACUCGCGGCCUAUCAGCUUGUUGGUGAGGUAGUGGCUCACCAAGGCUUCGACGGGUAGCCGGCCUGAGAGGGCGACCGGCCACAUUGGGACUGAGAUACGGCCCAAACUCCUACGGGAGGCAGCAGUGGGGAAUAUUGCGCAAUGGACGGAAGUCUGAUGCAGCAACGCCGCGUGCGGGAUGACGGCCUUCGGGUUGUAAACCGCUUUCAAUUGUGACGAAGCUUUUUGUGACGGUAGCAGUAGAAGAAGCACCGGCUAACUACGUG
rnacentral:rRNA from 1 species